rnacentral:rRNA from 1 species
GAUCAUGCUCAGGAUGAACGCUAGCUACAGGCUUAACACAUGCAAGUCGAGGGGCAGCAUGACCUAGCAAUAGGUUGAUGGCGACCGGCGCACGGGUGAGUAACACGUAUCCAACCUACCGGUUAUUCCGGGAUAGCCUUUCGAAAGAAAGAUUAAUACCGGAUAGUAUAACGAGAAGGCAUCUUUUUGUUAUUAAAGAAUUUCGAUAACCGAUGGGGAUGCGUUCCAUUAGUUUGUUGGCGGGGUAACGGCCCACCAAG